UCGGCUAAGAUGGUUUUAGCCGACGAAUAACCUAAUAUUUCGUCGGCUUUAGUUAUUUUUAAUUUUUAAUUACAUACUAUACCCGACGAAUACGUUAGGGUAUUCGUCGGCUAAACCCUAAAAUUUUUCUAUUACAUACUAUAGCCCUAUCUUCGAUGGUUAUUUUCCGUAAAAUUUUUAGACGACUUCUUGCGUCUCAUCGGUUUGAAACUAUUUUCAGUUGGAGGUCUGGCCAAAAUACGUAAUUUAGACGGUCGAACGAUCUUUUCCGUGCGUUUAGGGGUUUGACUUACGAGAUUGACCGUCCGGAUCGAGCCCUUAUUCUUGUCGGAUCAAGUUGAAUUUUUUCCCAUACAUGUAUUUUGUCAUGAUGGUCAGAUCUGACGGUCGGAUUUCUGUUUCUCAAGUUUGAUCAUCACAAUCACAACAUGCCUACUAAUGUUGUAUAACUUGUUUACCAAGUGUUAUGUAAAUGUUCCGUUUCAAAAACAAACUAUACGUAAAACCUUCAAACGCCAAAAAGUCGUGAAAUAAGAUAUGACGAGAAUGUUGAAAUACAUCCACGGUUGAAAAAUCACACUAUUCCGGUAAAUAUUCGGUGUCGAUAGUUGCGGUCAAUGUAAUUUUUCAUCCUUUCCCCCUAUGAGUAGCCCUAUAUUCGGUGGUUAUUUUGCGUAAAAUUUUUAUACGACUUGUUGCGUGUCAUCGAUUAAAAACUAUUUUCAGUUGAAGGUCCGGCCAAAAUACGUAAUUUAGACGGUGGAACGACCUUUUCCAUACGUUUAGGGGUUUGACUUACGAGAUUGACCGUCUGGAUCGAGCCCUUAUUCUUGUCGGAUCAAGUUGAAUUUUUUGCCAUACAUGUAUUUUGUCAUGGUGGUCAGAUCUGACGGUCGGAUUUCUGUUUCUCAAAUUUGAUCAUCACAAUCACAAUGUGCCAAAUGUAUAAAAAUACUUUAGCCGACGAAUUUCAAAGGUUAGCCGACGAAUUUCAAAGGUUUGGCCGACGAAUUUCGAAGGUUUAGCCGACGAAAUUCUUAGCUCUAGCCGACGAAAUAAUUAUUUCGUCGGCUAAAGUUGUCGGGUUUAACUUGCGCUCGACAGCAGAAAAACCCUAGCCUCCUCUUCCGCCUCCUCCGCCUCCUCCCUCCUCCCUCCU
rnacentral:lncRNA from 1 species